UAUGACUUCUUUCACCGCUAAAAAAGAUAUGAAAACAUGAUGUUAGGUUUUUUUUCUUUAUUUAAGGGCUUAGAUAUCACGCCGACCCCUAGUUUUCUUUUUAAAAAAAUGCGUGUUUGAGAUAAUCUUUAACUAAUUGGGAAUACUCGUUUAUUUUGAGAACCUAAUGAUUGUGCUUUUGAGACUUGAUUUAGGUAUUGUCAUCUUUGAUCGACAUAAAAUGACUUAAAAUAGUGUAGGAUGUGUCCCUUUUAAUUUAUUUAGUUAGUUCAAGUCACAUUAAUUAAGAACUAAUUUCUCCUAGCAAAGUUAGAGCUUUCUCCUAUGUUUCGAUUACUACGGCAUGUAAAGAUAUUAGCUCUCAUACAAGUUAGUAUGAUUUAUUUGUUGUCUUUCUCCUAUAUUUUAUGUGUUCGUUAAGAGGCAGAUGUUCCUCUUUAACCUAUUUUCUCUUUGCUUUUCUUUGUCUUGCAUGACCUGUGGAGCCGUGAGGAGUCCCACAUUGGGACUCAAUGCCGCCGUUUAGAACCAGCAUUUGCAUCUCCUCCUUUAUUCAUACCUCUCGCUCUCACGAAUUACAUCCGGACAAAUAGCUAGAGAUGAGCGAGAGGAAGCAGCAAAUACUCCUUUCUUUAUCAUGAUGGUUUUAUUUUUGCUUUCAUUAUGAUUUGUUUAUCAACUCACUAAUUUAUUACAUUAUUUGUGUUUGCCAUUUUUUUAUUAUUUUUUUUGUGACAACUUAAGUUAGAUAUACAUUAUAUAUUAAUUGUCUGGGGUAGUUUAGAAGCCACUUAUUUUCAGAACUGGAAAGAUUUUAGAGUAGCUUUUGUUAGGGAUAUAGUAGAUAUGCCCUAGAUCUAAUAUCAUAUUUGAUAACUUGAACAUAUUUU
rnacentral:lncRNA from 1 species